rnacentral:ncRNA from 1 species
CUAAGCAUUUACUAAGCUUGAUUACUAAGCUAUUACUAAUCGAUUUUCUAUAAUCGUUAGUAAGCAAUUAUGUAAUUACUAUAUUAGUAAUAUAUUACGUAAUCUUAUUCUUAUAAAAUUCUUAUAUAAGCUAUUCUUUAUUUUAAUAAAGAAAGUAUUAUAUCCUCUCUACGAUACUUUCUUUACAAAUAUAUACUAAAAAUCCUAACUUUAGAAGAGAUAUAUUUAUUAGAUAAAAAACUAAUACUUUUUAAAGCUUUAUAGUAAUUUAUAAUAACUUUAUAAAUUAUAUAGCUUUAUACUAGUAAUAUUUUAUUUAAAUUUCUACUUUAUUAACUUUUAAUAGUAAGGUAUUAGCUUACUAUAGUUUUAAUAAGUAAUAGAGAAUUAAGGUUUAAUUCUAGAGAGGGAGCUUAAGAAAUAGCUACUAUAUUUAAGAAAGAUAGUAGGCCCGUAAAUUACCUAAUCUUAAUGUAGAGAGGUAGUAAUAAUAAAUACUAAUAUAGAGCUCUUUUAGGUCUUAUAAUUAGAAUAAGUAUAAUUUAAACCUCUUAAUAAGGAAUAAUUAGAGAGUAAGUUUAGUACUAGUAACUAUAGUAAUUCUAGCUCUAAUAGUGUAUAUUAAAGUUAUUAUAGUUAAAAAGCUUAUAGUUAAAACUUAGGUCUAGCUAGCGGGUCUAUUUUACUAUGUAUACUUAUCUAGCUAGGCCUUUCUUCUAAAGAACUUUAUACUCUUUACUAGUUAUAUUAGAGAAUUAGGACUUUUACUUUAAAAAAAUUAGAGUAUUUAAAGUAGGCCUUUACUUAAAUAUAUUAGUAUAAAAUAAUAAAAUAGAGUAUAUAUUUCUAUUUUAUUAGUUUCUAGAGAUAUUAUAAUAAUUAAUAGAAAUAGUUAGAAGUAUUAGUAUUUAGUUAUUAAAGGUAAAAUUCUUAGAUUUACUAAAGACUAACUACUAUAAAAAUAUUUACUAAGAAUAUUUUUAUUAAUUAGUAAAUAAAAGUUAGGGGAUUAAAGAUAAUUAGAUACUAUUAUAGUCUUAACUAUAAACUAUACUAAUUAGAGAUUAAGUAAUAUUCUUUUUCUAACUUACUUAGCACUUUAUAAGAAAUUAAAGUUUUUAAGUUCUA